rnacentral:sRNA from 1 species
UUGCGAUGAAAUUGAUCAUCUUGGCGC